AACCACUACAGCUUAAUAUAGCUAUGGUGUAUAUAGCCUGUCCCUGCAGACUUUUCAAUAUAAAAAAACGCCUUUUCAGAGAAAGGCAGUGUUUACAUUGCUGCCUAGUAACACCUCUAGAGGCUGUCACUCAGAUGGCCACUAAAGCACAAUGUGCAGCACCUACAUACAGCGUCUCCACAAGUGCAGCACCUACAUUCAGCGUCUCCACACCCUGCAUGGAGGCACUGCACGUUCCUCAUAGAGAUGCUCUUAAUUGAUUUAAUGCAUCUCUAUGAGGAAAUGCUGACGGCAGUUGAUUAUCAGGCGGGCCAGCUCUGGCG